CCUACGGGAGGCAGCAGUGAGGAAUAUUGGUCAAUGGGCGCGAGCCUGAACCAGCCAAGUAGCGUGAAGGAUGACUGCCCUAUGGGUUGUAAACUUCUUUUAUAUGGGAAUAAAACAGGGUAUGGAUACCUUUUUGUAUGUACCUUAUGAAUAAGGAUCGGCUAACUCCGUGCCAGCAGCCGCGGUAAUACGGAGGAUCCGAGCGUUAUCCGGAUUUAGUGGGUUUAAAGGGAGAGUAGGUGGAUUGUUAAGUCAGUUGUGAAAGUUUGCGGCUCAACCGUAAAAUUGCAAUUGAAACUGGCAGUCUUGAGUACAGUAGAGGUAGGCGGAAUUCGUGGUGUAGCGGUGAAAUGCUUAGAUAUCACGAAGAACUCCGAUUGCGAAGGCAGCUCACUAAACUGCAACUGACACUGAUGCUCGAAAGUGUGGGUAUCAAACAGGAUUAGAUACCCGAGUAGUC
rnacentral:rRNA from 1 species